rnacentral:rRNA from 1 species
GACGAACGCUGGCGGCGCGCCUAACACAUGCAAGUCGAACGAGAGAUGAGGAGCUUGCUCUUCAAAUCGAGUGGCGGACUGGUGAGUAACGCGUGAGGAACCUGCCUUUCAGAGGGGGACAACAGUUGGAAACGACUGCUAAUACCGCAUGAUACAUUUGGGCGGCAUCGCUUGGAUGUCAAAGAUUUUAUCGCUGAAAGAUGGCCUCGCGUCUGAUUAGCUAGUUGGAGGGGUAACGGCCCACCAAGGCGACGAUCAGUAGCCGGUCUGAGAGGAUGAACGGCCACAUUGGGACUGAGACACGGCCCAGACUCCUACGGAGGCAGCAGUGGGGAAUCUUCCGCAAUGGACGAAAGUCUGACGGAGCAACGCCGCGUGAACGAUGACGGCCUUCGGUGUAAGUCUGUAUACGGACGAAUGGCGUAGCGGUCAAUACCGUUACGACGUGACGGUACCGUAAGAGAAAG